CUGGCGUGAGAGGCGGUAUGCCGCUGUAGCGCUCCGUGUUCUAGUGAAAGGGACGCCCGCAGUACUGUUUACCGACAACAAAUUCUCCGCAGUGUUUUGUCAAAUUUUAUCCCGAUAACACACAACUAAUCACAUCUUUAAAUAGAAAAUAAAGACGUGUUCUAAAGUUUACAAUUUGUUUAUUAGUUGAAAACACACGCAAAGUACAGUUCGAUAGUUGGUGACAUAUACAGUGCGAGUACGGCAAGAAAUAGUGAUUUAUAAACUGACAUUUCUGUGGAUUAUUAUUACAUUACGAGGACUGAGAAGACACUGUUACCUGACGACUGUGUUUAAUGGUGUGUUGUGUUGUCAGAGGCCGAGUAGAGCUGAUGACGGUGGUGGUGGUGAGGUAAACACAAGAGAAAACACGAAGGGAAGAAAUAUUUAGUGUGAGAGAGUUACAAAGAAUAAAUUGAUUAUAUCCACCACAACGUUUAAUAUAUCAGUGCGUGUAACUAUAGAGAACUUAUAUACUUUUGAUGAAACUUUGAAAAAAAAUUAAUUUACCUAGCACAUGAUCAGUGUUAGGACAUUUCAAUAUAAGUCUGGAUUACCUGUGUUAAAUCGGGGUUUAAAGUGACGUUUAACCUCGUAAGUGGAAUUAAAACUAGAAUGCUUCAAGGAUCAAGUCAUCGUCUCCUGUACACAAGUCAGGGAGCCAUCUGAAGCAUUUAAGUGGACCAGUUAUUAUGAAUACACUGGACUGUGGAGCUCAGGUAAUUUGUGCUUGACAUGUCUCGUAUUUUUACUCAAGAGGAUCUGUAAUUUUUUUGUAAGUAGUUGUAUUUUAUU